CGCGUAGGUGGUCCGAUAAGUCGGAGGUGAAAUCCCUCGGCUCAACCGAGGACCCGCGUCCGAUACUGUCGGACUUGAGUGCAGGAGAGGAGAGCGGAAUUCCCAGUGUAGCGGUGAAAUGCGUAGAUAUUGGGAGGAACACCGGUGGCGAAGGCGGCUCUCUGGACUGCUACUGACACUGAGGCGCGAAAGCUAGGGGAGCAAACG
rnacentral:rRNA from 1 species